rnacentral:lncRNA from 10 species
CGAACAGGCCAACAAGAGAAGAGACAGAGAGGAUAAAUGCAACCUGUUCUAACAGGAAUGCAGCAGCAUACUGUUUGGAAAUUGGCCCCGCAGCGGAGCAAUAAUGCAGCCCAGGCCCAGGGUCAGUUUGUAAUCACAUUCACGCAGGUGUCAGGCACUGUGUCCACUUGAGUACCAGUGAGAGGCUCAUGCUGAAAUCUGCAGGAAUCCAGCUAUUUCAAAGAAAUUGGGAAGAAACAAGAGCUGAAGGGACUGCAGCAAUGUAGCUCCCGGCUGCUGUACAUUCUUCUAGACUUUAACGCCCACUCAGAUAUCUCCCUCAUCUACAAAGCCUUCCCCAGCUGUGCUUGCACGCAAAUCGAUCCUUCUCCACCACAAGACUCUCACCAUUCUAACGGAUGCAUUGCAUAUGAUUUUGCUACUAAUAAUACUGUCU